AUACCACAUAAGAUGUAUCUAUGAGAUGGUUACAUGUGCGAUUAUUAUUAACCCACAACAUGGUAUUUUGCGAGGUAACUUGCUCAAUAAUUCAAUUUAGAGCAAAAUUUUCAGAUUUUCUAUUCAAGAUAGUUUAUCUUGAUAAGUUAGUUUACGUCACAGUGGGUUUAGCAAGAUAAUUUAUUGAGUGCCUCCACUUAAUAGCUAAACUAUUGCUUAUGAGAGC
rnacentral:lncRNA from 1 species